AGCAGCCGCGGUAAUUCCAGCUCCAAUAGCGUAUAUUAAAGUUGCUGCAGUUAAAAAGCUCGUAGUUGAAUUUCGGGGUCAAUAUGUUGGUCGUGCCUUGGUACGUACUAGCUUAUUGAUUUCUCCUUUCUGACGAACCAUGAUGUCAUUAAUUUGGUGUCAUGGGGAAUCAGGACUGUUACUUUGAAAAAAGUUAGAGUGUUUAAAGCAGGCUCGCGCUUGAAUACAUUAGCAUGGAAUAAUGAAAUAGGACAUUUGAUUCUAUUUUGUUGGUUCUAGGAUCGAUGUAAUGAUUAAUAGGGAUAGUUGGGGGCAUUAGUAUUCAAUUGUCAGAGGUGAAAUUCUUGGAUUUAUUGAAGACUAACUACUGCGAAAGCAUUUUGCCAAGGAUGUUUUCAUUAAUCAAAACGAAAGUUAGGGGAUCGAAGACGAUCAGAUACCGUCGUAGUCUUAACCAUAAGCUAUGCCGACUAGGGAUCGGAUGAUGUUAAUUUUUUCAAUGACUCAUUCGGG
rnacentral:rRNA from 1 species